rnacentral:rRNA from 1 species
UGGGGAAUAUUGCACAAUGGACGGAAGUCUGAUGCAGCAACGCCGCGUGCGGGAUGACGGCCUUCGGGUUGUAAACCGCUUUUUCUCAUGACGAAGUUUUUUGACGGUAGUGGGGGAAGAAGCACCGGCUAACUACGUGCCAGCAGCCGCGGUGAUACGUAGGGUGCGAGCGUUGUCCGGAAUUAUUGGGCGUAAAGAGCUUGUAGGCGGUUUGUCGCGUCGAUAGUGCAAACUCAGUGCUUAACGCUGAGCCUGCUGUUGUUACGGGCAGAGUAGAGGAAGGUAGGGGAGAAUGGAAUUCCCGGUGGAGCGGUGGAAUGCGCAGAUAUCGGGAGGAACACCGGUGGCGAAGGCGGUUCUCUGGGCCUUUCCUGACGCUGAGAAGCGAAAGCGUGGGGAGCGAACAGG